rnacentral:rRNA from 1 species
ACUCCUACGGGAGGCAGCAGUGGGGAAUAUUGGACAAUGGGCGCAAGCCUGAUCCAGCCAUGCCGCGUGAGUGAUGAAGGCCCUAGGGUUGUAAAGCUCUUUCACCGGUGAAGAUAAUGACGGUAACCGGAGAAGAAGCCCCGGCUAACUUCGUGCCAGCAGCCGCGGUAAUACGAAGGGGGCUAGCGUUGUUCGGAUUUACUGGGCGUAAAGCGCACGUAGGCGGACUAUUAAGUCAGGGGUGAAAUCCCGGGGCUCAACCCCGGAACUGCCUUUGAUACUGGUAGUCUUGAGUUCGAGAGAGGUGAGUGGAAUUCCGAGUGUAGAGGUGAAAUUCGUAGAUAUUCGGAGGAACACCAGUGGCGAAGGCGGCUCACUGGCUCGAUACUGACGCUGAGGUGCGAAAGCGUGGGGAGCAAACAGGAUUAGAAACCCCAGUAGUCCCAU